AAACUUUCAACAACGGAUCUCUUGGCUCUCGCAUCGAUGAAGAACGCAGCGAAAUGUGAUAAGUAAUGUGAAUUGCAGAAUUCAGUGAAUCAUCGAAUCUUUGAACGCAUCUUGCACUCCUUGGUAUUCCGAGGAGUAUGUCUGUUUGAGUGUCAUG
rnacentral:rRNA from 1 species